UUAGAAGCAGCCACCCUUUAAAGAAAGCGUAAUAGCUCACUAGUCGAGUCGGCCUGCGCGGAAGAUGUAACGGGGCUAAAACUAUGUGCCGAAGCUGCGGAUGUAUACUUUGUAUACGUGGUAGGGGAGCGUUCUGUAAGCCGAUGAAGGUGUGUUGAGAAGCAUGCUGGAGGUAUCAGAAGUGCGAAUGCUGACGUGAGUAACGACAAAACGGGUGAAAAACCCGUUCGCCGAAAGACCAAGGGUUCCAGUCCAACGUUAAUCGGACAGACUGCGGGUGCUAACGUCCGUAGUCAAGAGGAAAACAAUCCAGACCGCCAGCUAAGGCCCCAAAAUCAUAGUUAAGUGGGAAACGAUGUGGGAAGGCAUAGACAGCUAGGAGGUUGGCUUAGAAGCAGCCACCCUUUAAAGAAAGCGUAAUAGCUCACUAGUCGAGUCGGCCUGCGCGGAAGAUGUAACGGGGCUAAAACUAUGUGCCGAAGCUGCGGAUUUGACAUUAGUCAAGUGGUAGGGGAGCGUUCUGUAAGCCGAUGAAGGUGUAUUGAGAAGUAUGCUGGAGGUAUCAGAAGUGCGAAUGCUGACGUGAGUAACGACAAAACGGGUGAAAAACCCGUUCGCCGAAAGACCAAGGGUUCCAGUCCAACGUUAAUCGGGGCUGGGUGAGUCGACCCCUAAGGCGAGGCCGAAAGGCGUAGUCGAUGGGAAAAUGGUUAAUAUUCCAUUACUUCUGUGUAAUGCGAUGAGAGGACGGAGAAGGCUAAAUCAGCCUGGCGUUGGUUGUCCAGGUGAAAGGAUGUAGGCAUGUAUCUUAGGCAAAUCCGGGGUACUCUAUGCUGAGAUCUGAUAGCAAGCUGUACUUGUACAGCGAAGUGGUUGAUGCCAUGCUUCCAGGAAAAGUCUCUAAGCUUCAGUUACACAGGAAUCGUACCCGAAACCGACACAGGUGGUCAGGUCGAGUAGACCAAGGCGCUUGAGAGAACUCUGCUGAAGGAACUAGGCAAAAUGGUACCGUAACUUCGGGAGAAGGUACGCUGUUGUUGGUGAUGGAACUCGCUUCCUGAGCUGACGACAGCCGCAGAAACCAGGCCGCUGCAACUGUUUAUUAAAAACAUAGCACUCUGCAAACACGAAAGUGGACGUAUAGGGUGUGAUGCCUGCCCGGUGCUGGAAGGUUAAUUGAUGGGGUUAGCGUAAGCGAAGCUCUUGAUCGAAGCCCCAGUAAACGGCGGCCGUAACUAUAACGGUCCUAAGGUAGCGAAAUUCCUUGUCGGGUAAGUUCCGACCUGCACGAAUGGCAUAAUGAUGGCGGCGCUGUCUCCAGCAGAGGCUCAGUGAAAUCGAAAUCGCUGUGAAGAUGCAGUGUACCCGCGGCUAGACGGAAAGACCCCGUGAACCUUUACUGCAGCUUGACACUGAACUUUGACCUUACUUGUGUAGGAUAGGUGGGAGGCUUUGAAGCUGGAACGCUAGUUCCAGUGGAGCCGUCCUUGAAAUACCACCCUGGUAAUGUUGAGGUUCUAACUCUGUCCCGUGAUCCGGGACGAGGACCGUGUCUGGUGGGUAGUUUGACUGGGGCGGUCUCCUCCUAAAGAGUAACGGAGGAGUACGAAGGUGCGCUCAGCGUGGUCGGAAAUCACGCGUAGAGUAUAAAGGCAAAAGCGCGCUUAACUGCGAGACCCACAAGUCGAGCAGGUACGAAAGUAGGUCUUAGUGAUCCGGUGGUUCUGUAUGGAAGGGCCAUCGCUCAACGGAUAAAAGGUACUCUGGGGAUAACAGGCUGAUGGAAGCAUAGUGAUAUGUGAAGCUGACCAAUACUAAUUGCUCGUGAGGCUUGACUAUACAAC
rnacentral:rRNA from 1 species